GUUAUCUGAUAGUUGGAAACAAAAGAUUUAACUUAACUGAAAGCAAUAAAAAAGAGAAAAGAGUAACAACAAGUCUUGAGCUUUCAAAACUCUCUCAAUGAUUUUCUUACUUUGAAUAAUGUAAAAUGCUAGUCUACAGAUAAGAAACUGAUCUAGUUAUUAUACAUAGGACUUAACCAAACUUACUAAAAUUAGUAAACCUAGGACUAAUAACUGAAUAAACAACCUUGUAUUUUAUAUAAAAAUAAAGUCUUCUUGAAUUGAGUGUUGUCAUCUUGAUCAUUUGAAACUAACUUGUAUAUUAGGUGUCAGAUUUGGACACUGAUUUUGUUUCCUUUGCUCUGUGUACAGGUUUGAUGGAGAUGGGUAUAUAUAUUGACUUCAUUAUUCUAAAAACUUAUUUAAUGAGUAUAUAUACUGACGUCUUCAACAAGAAGAAUACGUUGGAGCUCCCAAAUUCAUGAAGAUUGGAGACCUGAAAGGGCAUUUUGGAUUACUCGCGGUGAUCAUGCAAAUUCUGAGAGCAAAGCUCAAAGUAUUAGAUCUUUCGUAUGGAAAUGGAACAGGUAUAAUUAAGCACAACUCAACUACACAUCUGGUA